ensembl:misc_RNA 7SK 7SK RNA
GGAUAUGAGGACGAUCUGGCGGUGACACCUGUCACCCCAUUGAUCACCAGGAUGGAUUCGGCUCAUCUAGCUGGCUAGGUGGGUGUCCCUUUCCUCCCUGCUCUGUGUGCGUCCCUCCCAAAGCUUCAUGCUCGGUGGAAGAGAAUGGCCUUCCCUGAAUAGAGACAGACAGACCAGUCUUCAGUCGAGGGUACACGAGUAGCUGUGCUCCCUUGCUAGAACCUCCGAACAAGCUUUCUAAACACACACACACACCCCGGCUCCAAAGUUAGAGCCUCCCCCAAAUUAAAUCGUCACUGAAGUU